UGGCUCAGAGCGAACGCUGGCGGCAGGCCUAACACAUGCAAGUCGAACGAACUCUUCGGAGUUAGUGGCGGACGGGUGAGUAACACGUGGGAACGUGCCUUUAGGUUCGGAAUAACUCAGGGAAACUUGUGCUAAUACCGAAUGUGCCCUUCGGGGGAAAGAUUUAUCGCCUUUAGAGCGGCCCGCGUCUGAUUAGCUAGUUGGUGAGGUAAAGGCUCACCAAGGCGACGAUCAGUAGCUGGUCUGAGAGGAUGAUCAGCCACAUUGGGACUGAGACACGGCCCAAACUCCUACGGGAGGCAGCAGUGGGGAAUCUUGCGCAAUGGGCGAAAGCCUGACGCAGCCAUGCCGCGUGAAUGAUGAAGGUCUUAGGAUUGUAAAAUUCUUUCACCGGGGACGAUAAUGACGGUACCCGGAGAAGAAGCCCCGGCUAACUUCGUGCCAGCAGCCGCGGUAAUACGAAGGGGGCUAGCGUUGCUCGGAAUUACUGGGCGUAAAGGGAGCGUAGGCGGACAUUUAAGUCAGGGGUGAAAUCCCGGGGCUCAACCUCGGAAUUGCCUUUGAUACUGGGUGUCUUGAGUAUGAGAGAGGUGUGUGGAACUCCGAGUGUAGAGGUGAAAUUCGUAGAUAUUCGGAAGAACACCAGUGGCGAAGGCGACACACUGGCUCAUUACUGACGCUGAGGCUCGAAAGCGUGGGGAGCAAACAGGAUUAGAUACCCUGGUAGUCCACGCCGUAAACGAUGAUUGCUAGUUGUCGGGAUGCAUGCAUUUCGGUGACGCAGCUAACGCAUAAGCAAUCC
rnacentral:rRNA from 1 species